UAGAGCAGGACUGGAUUAUCUGGAUUAGGGGUUAAAGCAGGACUGGAUUAUCUGGAUUAGGGGUUAGAGCAGGACUGGCUUAUCUGGAUUAGGGGAUAGAGCAGGGCUGGAUUAUCUGGAUUAGGUGUUACAGCAGGACUGGAUUAUCUGGAUUAGGUGUUACAGCAGGGCUGGAUUAUCUGGAUUAGGUGUUACAGCAGGGCUGAAUUAGGUGUUAGAGCAGGGCUGAAUUAGGUGUUAGAGCAGGGCUGAAUUAGGUGUUAGAGCAGGGCUGAAUUAGGUGUUAGAGCAGGGCUGAAUUAGGUGUUUAGAGCAGAGCCUAAUUAGGUGUUAGAGCAGAGCUGAAUUAGGUGUUAGAGCAGGGCUGAAUUAGGUGUUAGAGGAGGGCUGAAUUAGGUGUUAGAGCAGGGCUGAAUUAGGUGUUAGAGCAGGGCUGAAUUAGGUGUUACAAC
rnacentral:lncRNA from 1 species